UAGGGAAUUUUCGUCAAUGGGGGCAACCCUGAACGAGCAAUGCCGCGUGAGCGAAGAAGGUCUUCGGAUUGUAAAGCUCUGUUGCCGGGGAAAAAGGAAGGAAAG
rnacentral:rRNA from 1 species